rnacentral:rRNA from 1 species
UACGUAGGGUGCGAGCGUUGUCCGGAAUUAUUGGGCGUAAAGAGCUCGUAGGCGGUCUGUUGCGUCGGCUGUGAAAACCCGAGGCUCAACCUCGGGCCUGCAGCCGAUACGGGCAGACUAGAGUACGGCAGGGGAGACUGGAAUUCCUGGUGUAGCGGUGAAAUGCGCAGAUAUCGGGAGGAACACCAGUGGCGAAGGCGACUACCUGGCCUGUUCUUGACGCUGAGGCGCGAAAGCUAGGGGAGCAAACGGG